rnacentral:rRNA from 1 species
UACGGGGGGGGGCAAGCGUUGUUCGGAAUUACUGGGCGUAAAGGGCUCGUAGGUGGCCAACUAAGUCAGACGUGAAAUCCCCUCAGCUUAACUGGGGAACUGCGUCUGAUACUGGAUGGCUUGAGUUUGGGAGAGGGAUGCGGAAUUCCAGGUGUAGCGGUGAAAUGCGUAGAUAUCUGGAGGAACACCGGUGGCGAAGGCGGCUCACUGGUCCGGUUCGUGACGCUGAGGCGCGAAAGCCAGGGGAGCAAACGGGG